UACAGAGGGUGCAAGCGUUAAUCGGAAUUACUGGGCGUAAAGCGUGCGUAGACGGUUACAUAAGUCGGGUGUGAAAGCCCCGGGCUCAACCUGGGAAUUGCAUUCGAGACUGCGUAGCUAGGGUGCGGAAGAGGGAAGCGGAAUUUCCGGUGUAGCGGUGAAAUGCGUAGAUAUCAAGAGGAACACCUGCGGCGAAGGUGGGUUGCUGGGCCGACACUGACGCUGAGGCGCGAAAGCUAGGGGAGCGAACGGG
rnacentral:rRNA from 1 species